AAUACUUUACCUCUUUCUUCUUAAAGUUAUUUUUUCUUUCUACUUCCAGAAUUAUUUCAUAUAGUCAGAAUAUACAAUGAUAGUUAUACUUUUCUUAUGACUUGUUAUCUUUACUCAUUUAACUUGCUGAACGUAUAUCUCUUAUGAGACAUUUUUCUGACAUUUUCUUAAGAAUUCUGAUGAAGUAGCCAGCUGUCUAAGCUUAAGUUACAGUUUGGAGUCUAUUGGUUUGUUUGUUGGUUUUUGAGAAAGUGUUUUUGCUUAAACCCUUAACAUAUAUUGUUCUGAUAUUUAUUUUUCAUAACUGGCAGUGGAAGAAAAUUAAGGGGUCUUAUCACUGGUUAUUUUCUACAUAUUUUAUGUACGACCUCUUUUUCUUGGGUGUCUUUUAAAAUGAUAUUAAUCGAUCUGUUAAUAGACAUGAGGAUAAUUACAUGAAAUACU
rnacentral:lncRNA from 1 species